ACCUUAAGAACAAGAAAGGAUCACAUUUUAAUCUGUCUGUCAAAUGGGUUUCCAAUUUGGUAACAGGGUUGAGCAAACUUAUGUACUCAAGGGCCACCAGGAGGGGAUGGAAAUGAAGUUGAAAGUAAGUAAACUUGAUUGAAUAAGACGUGAAUCUUAAAUAAGAUAUAAAUACUUUAUUUGUUUGUGUAUCUUGUAUUUACUUGCAAUUGAAUUAACUGUGUUGCUCCUUGCCGUGCGCCCGCCACCAGGGGGCAGUAUAAUGCAGUCAUGCAGACACAAACGAAGAA